rnacentral:rRNA from 1 species
UACAGAGGGGGCAAGCGUUGUUCGGAAUUACUGGGCGUAAAGGGCUCGUAGGCGGCCAACUAAGUCAUACGUGAAAUCCCUCAGCUUAACUGGGGAACUGCGUCCGAUACUGGCAGGCUUGAAUUCGGGAGAGGGAUGCGGAAUUCCAGGUGUAGCGGUGAAAUGCGUAGAUAUCUGGAGGAACACCGGUGGCGAAGGCGGCAUCCUGGACCGAUAUUGACGCUGAGGCGCGAAAGCCAGGGGAGCAAACGGG